UUCCGUAGUGUUGCCUUUUCUUUAGUACCUGUAAAUCCUGAAUUAAAAGAUAGAACAUUUGGGGAUUUGUAUAAUACUUACAUUUGUUUCUCAGCUACCUUAACAGAUCGUGACGUGGCUAAUGUUCUUUACAAUGUAGAGUUUGAAUCACUCACUGAAGGCGCUUUAUACAAGGUUUUAAAUGGUUCAAUUAAGGAACGUAGAAGUAGAAAAUUUAAACCAGUUAUUUCUUAAUCAGCAAUAAACACUUCCCUGUAUUAACGGAAAUAUUUCUUUAGUAAAAUUUAUAAACAAGGUCAAUUAGCUUUUUAACGUGAACGUUUUCUAAUGUUCUCAAAACCUUUCAAGUGCAACACUAGUGUUGCACUUUACUGUUACAACAGUAUAAUAAAAUACUUUGCACUAACCAAAAGCUUCAACUUUUAAACUAAAAACGACAAAAAGUGAAAAAGAAAAAACUAAAAAUCACAAAAAGUGCGUCACAUGCGUCACAUGCGUCACAUGCGUCACACGCGUCACUUGUUAAACUUGCUAAAAAACGACAAAAAGUGAAAAAGAAAACACUAAAAAUUCACGAAAAGUGCGUCACAUGCGUC
rnacentral:lncRNA from 1 species